rnacentral:rRNA from 1 species
AACGAACGCUGGCGGCAGGCUUAACACAUGCAAGUCGAACGCCCCGCAAGGGGAGUGGCAGACGGGUGAGUAACGCGUGGGAAUCUACCCAGAUCUUCGGAACAACUGAGGGAAACUUCAGCUGAUACCGGAUACGCCCUACGGGGGAAAGAUUUAUCGGUUCUGGAUGAGCCCGCGUUGGAUUAGCUAGUUGGUGAGGUAAAGGCUCACCAAGGCGACGAUCCAUAGCUGGUCUGAGAGGAUGAUCAGCCACACUGGGACUGAGACACGGCCCAGACUCCUACGGGAGGCAGCAGUGGGGAAUAUUGGACAAUGGGCGAAAGCCUGAUCCAGCCAUGCCGCGUGAGUGAUGAAGGCCUUAGGGUUGUAAAGCUCUUUCAGUGGGGAAGAUAAUGACGGUACCCACAGAAGAAGCCCCGGCUAACUUCGUGCCAGCCGCCGCCGUAACAC